rnacentral:rRNA from 1 species
GUUGUUCGGAAUUACUGGGCGUAAAGCGCGCGUAGGCGGCUUUGUAAGUUAGAGGUGAAAGCCCGGGGCUCAACUCCGGAAUUGCCUUUAAGACUGCAUCGCUAGAAUUGUGGAGAGGUAAGUGGAAUUCCGAGUGUAGAGGUGAAAUUCGUAGAUAUUCGGAAGAACACCAGUGGCGAAGGCGGCUUGCUGGACUCAUAGUGACGCUGAGGUGCGAAAGCGUGGGGAGCAAACAGG